UGGGGGAUAUUGCACAAUGGGCGAAAGCCUGAUGCAGCGACGCCGCGUGGGGGAUGAAGGCCUUCGGGUUGUAAACUUCUUUUGCUCUGAACAAGGCAUGCCUUUGGGGUGUGUUUAGUGUCGGGGUUGAUUAGCGCCGGCUAACUACGUGCCAGCAGCCGCGGUAAUACGCAGGGCGCUAGCGUUGUCCGGAAUUAUUGGGCGUAAAGGGUUUGUAGGUGGCUGGUAGCGUCUGUCGUGAAAGCUCAUGGCUUAACUGUGAGUUUGCGGUGGGUACGGGCUAGCUUGGAUGCAGUAGGGGGGGCGGGAAUUCCUGGUGUAGCGGUGGAAUGCGCAGAUAUCAGGAGGAAUACCGGUGGCGAAGGCGGGUCUCUGGGCUGUUACUGACGCUGAGGAGCGAAAGCGUGGGGGGCGAACAGG
rnacentral:rRNA from 1 species